CCUGAUAGCUCAGUUGGUAAAGAAUCCACCUGCAAGGUGGGAGACCUGGUUCAAUUCCAGUGUCAGGA
rnacentral:tRNA from 1 species